UGGGGAAUAUUGCACAAUGGGCGAAAGCCUGAUGCAGCAACGCCGCGUGAGUGAUGAAGGUCUUCGGAUUGUAAAGCUCUGUCUUUUGGGACGAUAAUGACGGUACCAAAGGAGGAAGCCACGGCUAACUACGUGCCAGCAGCCGCGGUAAUACGUAGGUGGCGAGCGUUGUCCGGAUUUACUGGGCGUAAAGGGUGCGUAGGCGGAUGUUUAAGUGAGAUGUGAAAUACCCGGGCUUAACUUGGGUGCUGCAUUUCAAACUGGAUAUCUAGAGUGCAGGAGAGGAGAAUGGAAUUCCUAGUGUAGCGGUGAAAUGCGUAGAGAUUAGGAAGAACACCAGUGGCCGAAGGCGAUUCUCUGGACUGUAACUGACGCUGAGGCACGAAAGCGUGGGUAGCAAACAGGAUUAGA
rnacentral:rRNA from 1 species